GACGUAGGGCGCGAGCGUUGUCCGGAUUUAUUGGGCGUAAAGAGCUCGUAGGCGGCUCGUUGCGUCGGCUGUGAAAACCCGCAGCUCAACUGUGGGCUUGCAGCUGAUACGGGCGGGCUGGGAUUCGGUAGGGGAGACUGGAAUUCCUGGUGUAGCGGUGAAAUGCACAGAUAUCAGGAGGAACACCGGUGGCGAAGGCGGGUCUCUGGGCCGAUAUCGACGCUGAGGAGCGAAAGCGUGGGGAGCGAACAGG
rnacentral:rRNA from 1 species